rnacentral:lncRNA from 1 species
AUGAAGAAACUCUGAUUAGAGAGGUUUAAAUAACUUGACCAAGACAUGGGACACGUGAGCGUCAUGGCGAGGGACUGAACCUUGAUUGCUCUGACUUCAACUCCUGAGAUUCUAACGAUGGUCCUCCACCGCUGCUCAGAUCAAGGUUAAUGACAUCUUCAUUUCUACAUUUCUCUGACAUGUUGUAUUGACUCUUCUUCAUUUUGCUGUUAGCAUUCCAGUAUAAGCUUUCUGGUUGCUUCCUCACUGCAUGCUGAUAUGAUUUGGCUGUAUCUUCACCCACAUCUCAUUUUGUAUUGUAGCUCCCAUAAUUCCCACGUGUUGUAGGAGGGACCCAGUGGGAGAUAACUGAAUCAUUGGGGAGGAUUCCCCCAUACUGUUCUCGUGGUAGUGGGUAAGUCUCCUGAGACCUGAUAGUUUUAUAAGGGGAAAUCCCUUUUGCUUGGAUCUCAUUUUUUCUCUUGUCUCCCGCCAUGUGAGAUGUGCCUUUUGCCUUCCACCAUGAUUAUGAGGCCUCCCCAGCCACGUGGAACUGUUGACUCUGAUAUACCUAGAUAUGAUUUUCAUUGUAUUUGUCCUGCAUCAAGUUCACUGGACUUUUGGAAUCUGUAGAUUGAUGCCAGUAUUAACUUUGUAAAAAAACAAACAACAACAACAAAAAAAACUCAAUCAUUGCCUUUUGUCUAUUCCUUUUGUUCCAUUCUUUAUCUCUUCUCCUAGGAUUCCCAUGUUAAUCUACAUAUAUUAUCCCACGGGUCUCUGAUGCUCUGUUCUAUUCAUUAUUUUUUCUCUCUUGUUUAGAUAGUUUCAAUUCCCUGAUCCUUUCUUUUACUAUGUUUAAUCUCCUCCUAC